CACCACUCUAACGACAGUCUAGAGAAAUUGUUCACCCCCAUCUAACGAAGUAGACCCUCCUCCUUCUGCAGCUUCGGAAGAUGGAAAUCAUGUUGUACACAUCGUCCCAACGACACCCACAAGACCAUCAAUUCUUCGUCAACGGUGCACGUUAGGAUUUCGGGAAUGCUCUCAAAUCCAUCAUCACUCGAGCCUAACGUAGCAUUCACCUGAUGAGCUCAGCCCAAGAUGACCCUUGAGCGUAAACGUAAUUGGUGCGUCCUUUUCGGUGCUGCCGGCCAACCUGGCCGGUGAGUCGAAUUUCAACCUACGGUUGACGAGUGUCUCUGCUUCAAAUGGAUCUUCAUUCAUCAUAUCCGUCUGUUUUUGGGCAACUCUCUGUAGAACUGCUAUCAACGUGAAAAAAGACAGGGAAAAUAUAUCGCAGAAUUAGUAUUGACUCAGAG